UGAUGCGUGCCAAGGCAGGGAGCCUGAUUUCGUUCUCUUAAUCAGCGGGUCCUAGGUUCGAGCCCUAGUGCGUCCACCA
rnacentral:tRNA from 1 species